rnacentral:rRNA from 1 species
AUUGAACGCUGGCGGCAGGCCUAACACAUGCAAGUCGAACGAGUGGCGGACGGGUGAGUAAUGUCUGGGAAACUGCCUGAUGGAGGGGGAUAACUACUGGAAAAGGUAGCAAAUACCGCAUACUAUCGGAUGUGCCCAGCUGGGAUUAGCUAGUAGGUGGGGUAAAGGUGCGCUUAGGCGACGAUCCCUAGCUGGGCUGAGAGGAUGACCAGACACACUGGAACUGAGACACGUUCAAGACUCCUACGAGAGGCAGGCGGGGGGAAAAUGGCGCAAUGGGCGCAAGCCUGAUGAAGCCAUGCCGCGUGUAUGAAGAAGGCCUUCGGGUUGUAAAGUACUUUCAGCGGGGAGGCGUUACCCGCAGAAGAAGCACCGGCUAACUACGUGCCAGCAGCCGCGGUAAUAC